rnacentral:rRNA from 1 species
CAGAGGGUGCGAGCGUUAAUCGGAAUUACUGGGCGUAAAGCGAGUGUAGGUGGCUCAUUAAGUCACAUGUGAAAUCCCCGGGCUUAACUGGGACUGCAUGUGAUACUGGUGGUGCUAGAAUAUGUGAGAGGGAGUAGAAUUCCAGGUGUAGCGGUGAAUGCGUAGAGAUCUGGAGGAAUACCGAUGGCGAAGGCAGCUUCCUGGCACAAUAUUGACACUGAGAUUCGAAGCGUGGUAGCAAACAGGAUU